UGUUCUCUGCGGUGCUCGCCAGCAAGCCCGAAAUCCCUUGAGCCUAUAAAUUACCUCACAGGAGCCGAUCUGGCGGCGAUGUUGUGCACGUCCGCGGCAACGCGGGAAGCCUGAUUCGCACCGAGAGGUUCCGCUCUUGAGCCUCUGGUUCAAGAUUACGGCAAGCAGCGGCAUCAGCGGAGGACAC
rnacentral:other from 1 species